GGAAUACCCGCUGAACUUAAGCAUAUCAAGUGGGGAGAGGAAACU
rnacentral:rRNA from 1 species